GUGUAGUUAAGAUUUCAAAGUACUAAUGUAGUUUUAUUUGCUAUUUUCAACUUAAUGGUGCGUAAGAUAUUUUUAUUUCUUGGAACAUAGGUAAUAAUUAAUCACUGUAUAUAGUCACAGGAGAUAAUUCCUAAGAUAUAUUCAGCAAUAGAUUUCCUUAGUAGAGUCCUUAAUUUAACCUAUCCUACCCUAUUGGUUAUAAACAUCUCACCAUGUGGAUUCAUUUGAACCCAACAUUAGUGCAUCCAGAAUCUCAUUUGUCAUUU
rnacentral:lncRNA from 1 species